CCCUCACUCAACCCUGAGCCCUUCCAGCUAGCCAGCAAUGGAGGAAGGGGCCCAAGGGCAGGGAUCGUGCUGUCUGCACAUAGACAUGCACACAGUCCCCCACCAUUGACCCAACAACAGUCCCCUGCCUUGCGGUACUGGGGAGAUCGUGCGGGAGAGGACUCCACGCCACCCUGGGGGAGUGCACAGGAGCUGGGCCAAUGUGAAACGAGAGCAGGAAGGCGACCAAGUGGGGCACUGAGGGCCCUUCUAGAAGGAACUGCUAGACUACCUCAGACUUAAAAAACAGGUGGAGGACAGGAUCAGCCCAUUUCAUGGAAGGGAACACUGAGGCCCCAAGCAGGAGGUAUGCCCUGACCUGGGGCUCUGGGGAGUGAUCUGGGACCCCUCUAUAAAGACAGAGGCUUCCUCGCCAAGCACCUUCUUCAGGCCAGAUGUCCUCCUUCAAAGAAGAGUCCAAGGAUCAGGAGGGCCCUUCCUCUCUGUGUGACCUUGGCAUAUGGCCUCUGAGUCUGUUUCUCUGUCUGUAACACGGAACCAGGAGGAUAAUAAUUAUGUUAAAAAUGGAGGACGUCCUGUGUGCCAGACGCUACAUACAUGCCUUGUCUCACUGCCUCUUCCUACACACCUUCUGAAAGAAGAGGAUUAUUGGCCCAUUUAGAACAAACAAUUUGAUAAGCAGGUUUGACCCAGAGAAAACUGAUGCCCUUUCCAUUUGGGAUCCUCUGGAUUUAGACUAACGUUUCCCAAAGUAACGUCUGAGCUGACAUCAACCUGGGAUCAGAGCCUACACACUUACUUAGGACCUCUCUCCCAGUGGACAAUGGAUAGAGGUAAGGCCACUGAGACUCGGGGAAGUCAAGUCACCUCCCUCAGGUCACAAGACCAAUAAGCAACAGAGCCAGGAUUUGAAAACAGGUCUGUGGGACUCCAAAGCCUGGCUCUCCCAACACUGGCCAAGGGCUCCAAGGGCCAAGGAAGGAGGGAUUAUAGCAGCAGGACGAGGUCCAGUCCAGCCCAGCCUAGGGGAGCCCUCUAAGUUUCCCAAGCAUCCUGGGUCGGGGGGGCAGCUCUCAGGCUCUGGGCAAAACACGUGAAGGCGCUGUUGCAGAGGACUCUGCAGCUGUACCCUGAGGCCCAGGAAAAGACAGGGGAAGGGGCUGCGGGUGGGCCGGACGGGCCAGGCUGGGCCAGAGCUCCGGGCAUUCCGGCGGCCUCCGCAGGAAGCAGAAUGGGACGGAAACCGGCUCCUGCCUCCUCCCCCAGAAUCCUGUGGGCAGCCCAGCCAGGCCGCACAGAGGCCGUCUUUGUGCCUGCCCCAACCCGCCACCCGCGGCUGGCCCAGGGUUUUGAGUUUCCUGGGGGGUGGGGGCCCUGUCACCGCUAAACCUCCAGCUACCUCCUCCUCUCGAGGGUGGUCACAGCAGUCCACAGCUGGUGAAGGAAGUGUGUGGACGGCCAGGGCUACCCCAGAGACUCUGGGGGGCCUGCAGUCGGCCCACAUCUCAUACCCCCAACGUUUAUAUGCCCUAACUGGGGGGCUGGCAGUAGGCAAGGACCCAGAGAGAACCUGAGAAGGCCAUCCCCCCUGAGCCUGCCCUCCCUGCCAGAAGCCACAAGUCCCACCCCAAUGUACCGGAAUCCCCCCAUCUCACUCCAUCUUGGUGUUACUGGGUCCAGGUUGACGUUCAUAAAGAGGCUGGCCAGGAUGGUGGGACAGUCUGUCUGUCAAGCACCAUUUCCCACUCUCCAGGGGCUCCCUGGACACACAGAACACAUCCAGGGGGAGGCCUCAAGCCCACUUCAGCAUUUCAGGGACAGAAGCCUCUUGGGUGGUAUAAAUGUGCUCAAGGAACACUGGACCCCAGGGAGUGAGCUCUGGCUGGAGUGCAUAUAGCGAGGAGCAGCACUACAGACCAGUGUAUCUGCCUACGUCCACCGAGAAGGUGUGUCAGAUACCAGACAUGCUGUGUGUGUGUGUGUGUGUGUGUGUGUGUGUGUGUGUGUCUUGGGGCCGGAGCUGUGGGUGAGCCGAGGGUUAUGUGCACAGCCUCAGAUGUCACCCUGUGGGUCUGAAUGCUGGUGUAUACACAGGGCUUAUAUACCAGUGUAGGUAAAGGUCUCUGUGUGACCUCCUUGUGUGUACAAAUGGAGCGUAUGCUAUCUGUACCCCUGGAUGUAAGCAUGAGUGUCAAGCACACCAUGCUUGAGUGUGCUUGUGUGUACAGUACAGUGGUUUACAGGAGGCUGGCUGAUGUGUGUGGGUUCUUCUGGUCUGUGAGUGUUGAUACAUCAUUACCAUGUGUAUACCAGUGUGUGCGUGUGUGUCUGUGCGUGCAUGUGCACACACUGUCAGCUGUAUCGGGGCUUCUGAGAUGUGAGUGAAGAGACCAACUGGGAUGUGGACGGUGCAGACAGGAACUGAUGCCAGGUGCUGGGGCCCCUAUGGAAACAGGAAGCUGCCCACAGGUGUGCUUGGGCUGUGGUGGGGGCUGGGCUCCACCCAUGUUCAAUUUGUACCCCUGAGAAACCAACCCAGGCCUCUACUAGCCCAAAGCCGGUCCCAGCCAGAGAGAGGCACCUUCCCUGCCUACCUCAAGACCUAACAACUCUGACCAGCGUCUACCCGCCUGCCUGGCCUGAGCAUGGAAAAAACUGGAAAACAAAAGCCCCCAGACCGCAGGCCCUCCCUGCAGAGGCGUGGGGGAGGCAGGCAAGAGGCAGGAGGCUGAGGAGGAAGGAGGGAGGUGUCGCCGCAGCCCCGGAACACAAAAAUAAUGAGGCGAGAGGGGCCAUGGGGCCUAGCCGGCUGGUUCCGGAGUCGCUAUCUGACCUUGACAGAUGCCACAGCUGGGCGCCUGGAGAGGAGCCGCCACAGUGCAGAACACCCCCCACCCCCGCCACCUCCCCCAGGCCAGGUCGAUGGAUGUCCAGGCAGGCCCCAGCCACAGGCAGCCACCCCACCAGGUGGAAGAAGGGAGUGCGUCCCAGUUGGGGGGGGUAGGGGGAGGGUAUGAAGCAAGGCAGUGGGGGCAGGGCACUGCAGGGCCCAGGAGGCAGCAAUGUGGUCUCCUGAGGGCACCCUGGCCCUCAGGUAUGGUUCUGUGUGGAGAAACACAGAGCAUGCUAUUAUUGUGCCUGUGUAGCUGUGAGCCUGAGUGUGUGUGGGGACGGGAAGCAGAGUGUGGCUGUGUGACAGAGACAAAGAUCAUAUUUGUGUGUGUCCUUAGGGUCACACAAGGCUGGAGAGUCCAGCUAAUGUCCCUGAAGUAGGUGUGGCCACAUCACUCAGGGGUGGGCACUGAUCACUCCCCUGCUCCCGCCCCCCUUCCAGAGCCACAGCUGUCCUGGAGGGUGCAAGCCACGCUGGGGCCAAAAGAGGGAAGGAGGACAAAGAGAGCCACAGCCCCCCCCCCCCCC